rnacentral:rRNA from 1 species
GGCCCAGAUCGUUUACCGUGAAAAAAUUAGAGUGUUCAAAGCAGGCAGAUCCAAUUUUCUGCCACCGAAUACAUUAGCAUGGGAUAAUGGAAUAGGACCCUGUCCUCCUAUUUUCAGUUGGUUUUGGCAGCGCGAGGACUAGGGUAAUGAUUAAUAGGGAUAGUUGGGGGCAUUAAUAUUUAAUUGUCAGAGGUGAAAUUCUUGGAUUUAUGAAAGAUUAACUUCUGCGAAAGCAUCUGCCAAGGAUGUUUUCAUUAAUCAAGAACGAAAGUUAGGGGAUCGAAGACGAUCAGAUACCGUCGUAGUCUUAACCAUAAACGAUGCCGACCAGCGAUUAGGAGACGUCGAAUACAAAACACCACCAUCGGUGCGGUCGUCCUUGGCGUCGGUUUCGGCCGGCGCGGGGGCGGCUUAGCCCGGUGGCACCGGUGAAUGACUCCCCUAGCAGCUUGUG